rnacentral:rRNA from 1 species
GACGAACGCUGGCGGCGUGCUUAACACAUGCAAGUCGAACGGAAAGGCCCCUUUGGGGGUACUCGAGUGGCGAACGGGUGAGUAACACGUGAGUAACCUGCCCUUGACUUCGGGAUAACUUCAGGAAACUGGGGCUAAUAACGGAUAGGAAUCAUUGCUGCAUGGUGGGGGUUGGAAAGCUUCGGCGGUUUUGGAUGGACUCGCGGCCUAUCAGCUUGGUGGUGGGGUGGUGGCUUACCAAGGCUUUGACGGGGAGCCGGCCUGAGAGGGCGACCGGCCACAUUGGGACUUGGGUACGGCCCAGACUCCUACGGGGGGCAGCAGGGGGGAAUAUUGCACAAUGGGCGGGAGCCUUGUGCAGCAACGCCGCGGGCGGGGUGACGGCCUUCGGGUUGGAAACCGCUUUCAGCAGGUGCGGAGCUGGUGGUGACGGUACCUGCAGAAGAAGCACCGGCUAACUACGUG